rnacentral:rRNA from 1 species
CCUACGGGAGGCAGCAGUGGGGAAUAUUGGACAAUGGGCGGAAGCCUGAUCCAGCAACGCCGCGUGAGGGAUGACGGCCUUCGGGUUGUAAACCUCUUUCGGUAGGGACGAAGCGCAAGUGACGGUACCUACUAAAGAAGCACCGGCCAACUACGUGCCAGCAGCCGCGGUAAUACGUAGGGUGCGAGCGUUGUCCGGAAUUAUUGGGCGUAAAGGGCUCGUAGGCGGUUUGUCGCGUCGGGAGUGAAAACCAGGUGCUUAACACCUGGCUUGCUUUCGAUACGGGCAGACUAGAGGUAUGCAGGGGAGAACGGAAUUCCUGGUGUAGCGGUGAAAUGCGCAGAUAUCAGGAGGAACACCGGUGGCGAAGGCGGUUCUCUGGGCAUGACCUGACGCUGAGGAGCGAAAGUGUGGGGAGCGAACAGGAUUAGAUACCCUGGUAGUCCACACCGUAAACGUUGGGCACUAGGUGUGGGGUCCAUUCCACGGAUUCCGUGCCGCAGCUAACGCAUUAAGCGCCCCGCCUGGGGGAGGUACGGCCGCGACGACGUAAACUACAACGAAGUAGUAGACGCGUGAGACGCGACGACGACGACGACGGAGGGAGGUAG